rnacentral:rRNA from 1 species
GCGCCAGACUCCUACGGGAGGCAGCAGUGGGGAAUAUUGCACAAUGAGGGAAACCCUGAUGCAGCGACGCCGCGUGAGCGAAGAAGUACCUCGGUAUGUAAAGCUCUAUCAGCAGGGAAGAAGAUGACGGUACCUGACUAAGAAGCCCCGGCUAACUACGUGCCAGCAGCCGCGGUAAUACGUAGGGGGCAAGCGUUAUCCGGAUUUACUGGGUGUAAAGGGAGCGUAGACGGCGGCGCAAGCCAGAUGUGAAAGCCCGGGGCUCAACCCCGGGACUGCAUUUGGAACUGUGCCGCUAGAGUGUCGGAGAGGCAGGCGGAAUUCCUAGUGUAGCGGUGAAAUGCGUAGAUAUUAGGAGGAACACCAGUGGCGAAGGCGGCCUGCUGGACGAUGACUGACGUUGAGGCUCGAAAGCGUGGGGAGCAAACAGGAUUAGAUACCCGUGUA